ensembl:lncRNA
GUUGACUUGUGAACCGACCGGUGAACCGCGAGCAACUUUCGAGUGGAACUAACCGCUGAUUCUUCAGUGACAAACUUAGCUUGGGCUACAAAAAAAGUGACUCUGUGACUUUUUAAAAAGUUGUCAGGACGUAAAUGAUAGGAAGACAUUUUAGACGAUAAGUGGCCAGACCUGUCAAACACCUGUAUACAGGUGGAGGUUAGCAAACCGGAGCGUCCAUUACAGCUCACAGCACGAUGAGCGGCAUCAAAGUGUCAGUUGGAGAAAGAGAGUCACCAAGAGCAGAAGAGGAUAAGGCAGUCUGCUUUGGUUUCCAUCUUCUUCUAAACUGUUUAUUGCAGUCGUGUAAGAGCUCUCUCAGAUGGUUUCCUGACUGGAGGCAUGUGGAAGUUCAACUCUGAGGCUGAGUGCUGAAAAAAGGGGCAAGUAUUUAUAAAACCAAGAUGCAAUUUUUAUCCGAACAGGAUAAAAAUAUGAUGAUUUGUCUACACUACACUCAGGGCAUUGUUUGAAAACAUUAAUGAUGGACAGAAAACAUUCAUAUUUAAUUGCAAAAUUAAUUACUUUAAUCUGCUCUUGUGUGUUUUAAUAAGCCAAGUUUUGAUUUUUAUAAUUAGUCCAAC